CAGUAGCCGCGGGAAUACGUAGGGGGCAAGCGUUAUCCGGAAUUAUUGGGCGUAAAGAGUGCGUAGGUGGUCUACUAAGCGCGAGGUGAAAGGCGAUGGCUCAACCAUUGUUAGCCUCGCGAACUGGCAGACUUGAGUGCAAGAGAGGAAAGCGGAAUUCCUAGUGUUGCGGUGAAAUGCGCAGAUAUUAGGAGGAACACCGGCGGCGAAGGCGGCUUUCUGGAUUGUAACUGACACUGAGGCACGAAAGCGUGGGUAGCAAACAGGAUUAGAUACCCGUGUAGUCCCUGUCUCUUAUACA
rnacentral:rRNA from 1 species